rnacentral:lncRNA from 1 species
CUUGACCUUUGACCUUGACCUUAUUUUAUUUUUUUUGGACCAAGGAUCUCAAAUCAAAAGACCCUAGGUCUCUAUUACUUAUGGUUUACCAGUUAGAAAUGCAUUUCACUUAUAUCAAAAACAUAAGGGGGAAUAACUGUCAUAUGGAGUCUCCGGAUAGCUUCGGUCGAAACUAAACUACUAAUCCUGAAGAUGUAACCAGCAAUUUGGUAAAAUAAAUUUGUCGUAAUCUUUUACGGUUGCGAAGGAGUAGUGGCCACAAGAAAAACAGUAUUUGGGGAGAUAACUCUUACAACGUAAAGUAUUUUGUUACGCAGUUGAAAAUUUUUAAAGCGUAUAUACUAUACGAUAUCAUAUUCCAAAUAUCUAAGCGACAUCUUUUGAAACAUCAACAAUACGCAAGAAAAAAUUUAGGCGGAAGAAUAGAAAAAAAAAUAAUAAUAAUAAUCAGAACAAAAGCAAUAGGUCUUUCCACGGAAAAGUGGAAAGACCUAAUAAU